rnacentral:rRNA from 1 species
UAUUGGUCAAUGGCCGGAAGGCUGAACCAGCCAAGCCGCGUGAGGGAGGAAGGCGCAGAGCGUCGCAGACCUCUUUUGCCGGGGGACAAAAGGCCGGACGUGUCAGGUCCUGAGGGUACCCGGAGAAAAAGCAUCGGCUAACUCCGUUCCAGCAGCCGCGGUAAUACGGGGGAUGCGAGCGUUAUCCGGAUUUAUUGGGUUUAAAGGGUGCGCAGGCGGUUUGUUAAGUCAGCGGUCAAAGCCCGGGGCUCAACCCCGGCCCGCCGUUGAAACUGGCAGUCUCGAGUUGGAGAGAAGUAUGCGGAAUGCGCGGUGUAGCGGUGAAAUGCAUAGAUAUCGCGCAGAACUCCGAUUGCGAAGGCAGCAUGCCGGCUCCACACUGACGCUGAGGCGCGAAAGCGUGGGUAUCG